UACGUAGGGUGCGAGCGUUAAUCGGAAUUACUGGGCGUAAAGCGUGCGCAGGCGGUUUUGUAAGUCAGAUGUGAAAUCCCCGAGCUCAACUUGGGAACUGCGUUUGAAACUACAAGGCUAGAAUAUGUCAGAGGGGGGGUAGAAUUCCACGUGUAGCAGUGAAAUGCGUAGAGAUGUGGAGGAAUACCAAUGGCGAAGGCAGCCCCCUGGGAUAAUAUUGACGCUCAUGCACGAAAGCGUGGGGAGCAAACAGG
rnacentral:rRNA from 1 species